rfam:Hepatitis C virus genotype 7, complete genome
GGGGCUGAUAGGCCAGGGGGGCAGGGCUCGCAUAUGCGGUCUCUACCUCUUCAACUGGGCUGUCAGGACC